GAUGAACGCUGGCGGCGUGCCUAAUACAUGCAAGUCGAGCGAACAGAUAAGGAGCUUGCUCCUUUGACGUUAGCGGCGGACGGGUGAGUAACACGUGGGUAACCUACCUAUAAGACUGGAAUAACUCCGGGAAACCGGGGCUAAUGCCGGAUAACAUAUAGAACCGCAUGGUUCUAUAGUGAAAGAUGGUUUUGCUAUCACUUAUAGAUGGACCCGCGCCGUAUUAGCUAGUUGGUAAGGUAAUGGCUUACCAAGGCGACGAUACGUAGCCGACCUGAGAGGGUGAUCGGCCACACUGGAACUGAGACACGGUCCAGACUCCUACGGGAGGCAGCAGUAGGGAAUCUUCCGCAAUGGGCGAAAGCCUGACGGAGCAACGCCGCGUGAGUGAUGAAGGGUUUCGGCUCGUAAAACUCUGUUAUUAGGGAAGAACAUAUGUGUAAGUAACUGUGCACAUCUUGACGGUACCUAAUCAGAAAGCCACGGCUAACUACGUGCCAGCCGCCGCAGUAACAC
rnacentral:rRNA from 1 species